rnacentral:rRNA from 1 species
CAGCCGUAAACAAUGUGCGUUAGGUGUGUCGGUAACCACGCGUUACUGAUGCGCCGAAGAGAAAUCGUGAAACGCACCACCUGGGAAGUACGGUCGCAAGGCUGAAACUUAAAGGAAUUGGCGGGGGGAGCACCACAACAGGUGGAGCCUGCGGUUUAAUUGGACUCAACGCCGGGAAGCUCACCGGAUAGGACAGCAGAAUGAUUGCCGGGCUGAAGACCCUGCAUGACUAGCUGAGAGGAGGUGCAUGGCGUCAGUGACU